AAUGAACGUUGGCGGCGUGGAUUAGGCAUGCAAGUCGCGCGAGAAGUCACUUAGCUUGCUAAAAGGCGGACAGCGGCGGAAGGGAGAGUAACGCGUGGUUAUGUACCCUCGAGACCGGGAUAGUGUCGGGAAACUGGCAGUAAUACCGGAUAACAUCUUCGGAUCAAAUGGUGUGAUUCCGCUCGAGGAUCGGACCGCGUACUAUUAGCUAGUUGGCGGGGUAAUGGCCCACCAAGGCUUAGAUGGUUACCGGGUGUGAGAGCAUGGCCCGGCUCACUGGGACUGAGACACUGCCCAGACAUCUACGGAUGGCUGCAGUCGAGAAUCUUCGGCAAUGGACGAAAGUCUGACCGAGCGACGCCGCGUGCGGGAUGAAGGCCCUCGGGUUGUAAACCGCUGUCAGUUAGGAGGAAAUCCAUGAGGGUACUCUCUCAUGGUUGACCGAUUUUCAGAGGAAGGACGGGCUAAGUUCGUGCCAGCCGCCGCCGUAAGAC
rnacentral:rRNA from 1 species